rnacentral:lncRNA from 1 species
GAGCCUCGCGGGGCGCUUGACGAGCCCGGUCACCUCCACGAUCCUUGUCGACCAGUCCGCCUUGGGCACGGCGCCGUGGUUGCACACGUAGUGGAGUGGCGUCGACGUGAUGAAACCGUCAAGCAUGAGGCACGGCAGCAGCGGCUCGGAGUUAAAGGGGUGCUUGCCGGUGAGCCAGACGAGCACCGGGUGCCGACGCACCCACGCGUCACUGCGUCAGAGGUGGCCUCGUCGCAUGGGUCAUUGACGGGAGGCUCCACCUCGAGGCGCGAGUGGUACAACUACCUUCAGUCCGGUGGUAUGUCGUCAUCGUCGUCGGAGUCGGUCUUGGAGCCCAACCGACGGUUGUCGCCGGUGGAUGGGAACAAGUCGAUGUUGCUCGACGACUCAUUGCUCGCCACCAUGGAACAGCUUGACCGUGGAGUUCCCCGUCACGUUGGUUUGCGCGGGCAACCAACACAAGGAGCAGAACAUGUCCAACAACUCAUUCCUCGGUUCCUCGCCUUGACAAUUAACAUAGGGAAGGGAAGGAAUCAACUAUCAGUAAGAGGGUUAGCAGAAGACUCCAUAGCUCUAGCUCAAGUGACGGACAUUGUUGAGAUAACUGCAUCUCCUCCUUGUGUGCCCUCAACAGACAACCGUUUUGCGAAAGGAAAGUGGCUUCAGACCAACGAGGACCUGACUUUUAUGUGGUAA